rnacentral:lncRNA from 1 species
AGUUUUAUAGCAUUUAAUAUUUAAGUGUUUUAUAGCAUUAAAUUUUGGUCUUUGAUCCAUUUUCAGUUAAUGUUUGUACAUUGUGUAAAAGUAUAGGUCCAACUUCAUUCUUUUGCUUGUGGAUAUCUAGUUUCCCCAACACCAUUUGUUGAAGAGAUUGUCCUUUUCCCCAUUGAGUGAUCCUGGAACCCUUGCUGAAAAUUAAUUACCCAUAGAUGUGAGUGUUAGUUCUGGCCUCUCGAUUCUAUUCCAUUGGUCUAUAUUGUCUACCUCUGUGCCAAGUCCAUGCUAUUUCAAUUAUUAUAGCUAUGUAGUAAAUUUUAAUAUCAGAAAAUGUGAGUCC